rnacentral:sRNA from 16 species
CGUGUUAUAUGCCUUUAUUGUCACGUUUAUUUUUCGUUGACGUAUUGAUAGCUAUUAUUAAUUAGCCAGCGAAUAAAUUGACAAGCCCGAACAACCCGUUCGGGCUUUUUUUUGGGUUCCA